GUAGUUAAAUUUUGCAGUAGUAAAAGAAACAGAACCAUAUGGGUUUGUUCUGAAGCUCCUUUCAAUAUCUUCACUGCUAACUGAGCAAUGACUAUUUGAAUCAGUCUGAAACAUAUGCCAUUUACCACACUCAGCCAAAUAAAACCAGCCCCACUGAGUAUCAGAGGUAUCCAUGUCUUCAACUGAACUUUCCAUCUUUGGAAAGAGUUCUUCAGAAGUUCUUUGAAACAUUUCCGCAUCUGCCGCCCA
rnacentral:lncRNA from 1 species